UCUACUUCUCCUAUAUCAUUCUACUAUUGAAUAAUUCUUCAUUUCUCCAUAGGUUAACUGCUUUGUUAAUAUGUUUUUUUCAGGUGGGCUGGAGAAGCAGAAGUCAUGGCUCCUCCCCUCCUUGAGGAGAGAAAAAUGAUGACAAUGAAAUGAAAGAAAAACUGUUACAAUGCAACAGGGUAAAAGAGAAAAUGUGAGAAGAAAGAAAACCAAGGGAGGAAGAAAUUUUUGAUUCAGUGCUUUAAUUUUUAUGGACAAAUUACCGAUCUGGUGUCCGCAAAGUCCUUUGCUUUGGUUCAGGUGCAGGCAUGAAAAAGUUUUCUCAGGCCAUUUCUGCUUAUAACUGGAACCAAAAGCAAUAAAACAAUGAAGAGAAAGUGAAAGGAAAGGUUUCUGAAGUUCUCCUACCUUUCAGAAGGAAAAAUCAUCUGUGAAGGUUUCAUCUGAAAUAUCAGUUCAUGGUUUAGUACAGCUUCUAAAUAUUAAUCUACAUGAAUGACUCAAUCCUAAAGCAAUCAUGUGAUACUAUGGCUCUGCCUCAUUCUGUCAAUAACCGCAGAUUUAUACCAGCAAGACCAAAAUCUCAUSAGGAAAGAAGAAAUCUGCCUGAGGAAACAAAGAAAAACAGAAGAAUAAAGUUUUGCACAAAGUUCCA
rnacentral:lncRNA from 1 species